rnacentral:rRNA from 1 species
AGGACGAACGCUGGCGGCGUGCUUAACACAUGCAAGUCGAGCGGAAAGGCCCUUCGGGAGUACACGAGCGGCGAACGGGUGAGUAACACGUGAGCAAUCUGCCCUUCACAUGGGAAUAACUUCGGGAAACCGAAGCUAAUACCGAAUACGACCACCGAUGGCAUCUUCUGGUGGUGGAAAGUUCCGGCGGUGAAGGAUGAGCUCGCGGCCUAUCAGCUAGUUGGUGAGGUAAUGGCCCACCAAGGCGACGACGGGUAGCCGGCCUGAGAGGGUGACCGGCCACACUGGGACUGAGACACGGCCCAGACUCCUACGGGAGGCAGCAGUGGGGAAUAUUGGACAAUGGGCGAAAGCCUGAUCCAGCAACGCCGCGUGAGGGAUGACGGCCUCGGGUUGUAACCGUCUUUCUAGCAGGGACGAAGCGAAAGUGACGGUACCUGCAGAAGAAGCACCGGCCAACUACGUGCCAGCAGCCGC